rnacentral:misc_RNA from 1 species
GAAACGCGAUAGUUAAUGUGAAUUGCAGAAUUCAGUGAAUCAUCGAGUCUUUGAACGCACAUUGCGCCUUCUGGUAUUCCGGGAGGCACGUCUGUUUGAGCGUCAGCUAAACCCUUCCGGCCCCUGGCUUUUUGUCUGGGGGCACGGGCGUGCUGGCGUCAGGGGACUGAGGCCGCCGCGCUCCGGCGCGGGUCAGGUCCUCCCCCGCUUAAACCUGUGGAAGCUAGCGGGCAUGGUCCCGGAUCUUGCGAACAACUCGUAUAACCUACUGUUGUCAGCUGUCCGGCCUGCCCCGCCUCCAUCUUUAAAAAUUUUGGUAAAAAGGGAAGAAAUUCCCCCCAAACCGAUAUUUUUUUUAAUCUUGACCUCAAAUCAGACGAGGAUACCCGCUGAACUUAA